GGAAACUAUUUUAACAAGCUCACUAGGUGGUUCUUAUGAAUGUUAGAGUUUGCGAACCACAGUUCUCACCCAGGUGGAGUUUAGCUCCCUUUACAGGAAGUUUCGUGUGAAACUUAGCUUCCUUUGGGCUGUUCCUGCCUGAGAAAUAUGGUAGGAGCAGCAAGAAAUUUUCCCAGCCACUAAUGCCUAAAGUAUUUGUUCACUGAAGCUCUGCAUGUUUUAAGUGAUGGAAAGACUCAUCUAAUCCCCAUGUUGGGUGCACCUGCUUAGAUCUGUAAGUUCCAAAAGUCUGUACAGCCUGUGUAUGCUGAGGUUGCAGAGGUGUGGGGUUGCUGAGGGCCUGUGACAUGGGUCUCAUUAAACUGCUGUAUCUUAAAGCAGUCAAGGACCUAGAAACCCUGUGCUUACUAAGGUGCUGACGCCUCCUAUCCCAGCCACACCUGAAGCGCCCUUUUCUCUGGAUGUAUCUUAAAUCUUCAAAGCCCUAUCUUUGUGCCUGUUCCUUAAGCUUUCCUGGUUUGUGGACCGUGUGUGGUGGCUGGGGGUGAGGAGGAAACAAAUCAAACCCCCCUCCUCUGAGUUCAGAACCAACAGAGAAGUAGGAUCAGGACAUCACUAGGGAUCAAUGCAUCAAUUUUACUGCUGAUAAAGUUGAAUUGGAAAAUGCAGCUGGGAAUCCAGCCACCGUGGAGCUUCCUCACACCUUCCUCCGGGAUUGAACCUCCCCACCCUAAAUGCCGGCUUCCUGCUCUGCCGGGGAGGUUGCCAGAUGCUGCGUUGUCACUAGAGCUAGUGCAGCCUUUCCCCAACCUCCCAAUCAGCUCGUUUACUUGGUCUUUGGCGAAGAAGACCUAGGAGAGGUGCUUUGGUACCAUACCUUCCUGAGUGGGUGUGAGGAUGGAGGAAUAAGUUUUUCUCCGGCUGUGGGAACAACAUUUGAGGUUAUUGACAUCAAAGAAAGAGUCUAGAAUGGGAAGAGGGGAAAGUCAGGACUAAGGCUUGAGGAAGGCUCACCGUAAAUGUGGUUUCAAGGAGGAAGCCCCAGCCAAAGAAACUGAGAGGAGAGACCAGAGAAAGGAGGAGGACCAGGAGCCUGUGGUGUCAGAGGCUGGGUGAAGAGCAUUUUCAGGAGGAAGCUGACUAGGUCUUGUACUGGACAUAGAGGACACACGAUCACUUCAAAGAGACAUAACAGGCCAGCACUGCUCCAGGUGCAGGAGAAAUUGGAAUGAACUGAAAUGACAAAAACCCUGCCCCCAUGCCCUGUACACUCUACUGGGGAAAACAAGCAAUAAACAAGGUGAUUCUGAUGCAUCCUAAAAUUGGAGAACCGCUGCUCUAAAGAAUAGCACGAAACCAAUUUGGCCAACCCUCAAGCAAUCCAUUCUGGUGUUUUGUUUGCCCUGUGAUGCAGAACUCAGGCCUCUAUGGACCGCUUGUCCAGAUCUAAAGGUGUUUCCUGAGGGCCGAAUUGGCCUCGUAUGCAGGUUCCUCUGCAGACCACAGCAACGCACAGAAGAUGUGGCACUGCCUCCUGGCACGCACACAGGGCCGGCUCCCCCAGCUACACAUCAAACACCAACUCUGCUGCCCAUGCCGGAUGCCAAGUGAGAUAAUAUGUCCUUGCCUCCUGCUUUCCUGAGAUGAGUAACAAAAUAAUCCUAGCUGCUAUCAUUCAUGCGGUAGCCACAAGCUCUAAGCUGGUGCAGAAUAUACUCUUCAUCUGCAAAGUGAGUACUAACAAUAACCCUGCUUUGCAGAUGAUGAAACCAGAGCUUUAAAGAAGCCUCUAACCUAUUACAACUCAUGGUACAGGCAUUUGGUCCCGGGACUACCCAUCUCCAGUAUGAAAUCCCUGUAUUUCUCUCUUUUCCUCUGAAAAUCUGUCUCUGUCUUGAUCCCUGGUCUUGGAGGAAGAAAAGUUCUUUCAAUGCAAAGUUUCCUCCUCCAUCUUGAGCUUGGUUUCCUCCUGUCUCCCACUGCACCUCCCUACAUUAACUGUCCCCUCCCUCUCUCAUAUAGAUCAGCCUCUCCUCCCCACUGCCUCUUCCCUACAAAUGCAUUUGGUCUGCCCGCCUUCACCAAUCACUCCUGCUUCAUCUGCCUCCUUGCUUCACUGUCAGCUUGUCAAAAGGAAGGGUGUUUCAGUUUGGCCACCUCUUCUGUUCCCUCAUGCACUCCUUGGCUGUCCAGUCACCUACUUGGUGAGCAAAGCCUUGGUCCCUUCCCUGACACUGUGUGUCUUGGGUCCCUUCUCUUCCCUCCUGGGUGGGCACCAUGUCAUCUCCUACCCUUUUGUUUCUCAGUGCCUGGGACAGUGCCCUGAAUAGCAAGGGCGAUGGUGAUGACCUCACAUUCAGAACUGGUCAAAAAUCAAGACAAACACUUCCCAGGGGCAGGGAGCUAGCUGAGGUGGGGCUCCCAGGGAAAUUCCUUUGGGCUGGAGUUCUGUUCAGCAGAAUGACGACACACUAUUGCCAUUUUUAGAGCAGUGAUUACCAAAUGGAAAUACCCUAUUUCACCAGAGACUGAGAUCCGAAGUCACUCGCUUCAUAGCUAAAUGUCAUUUACCUCUUCACUGUAACUGAGGCGCUGAGAAACAAGCACAUGACUACAUGCUAGGGGAUUCAAUUCCUGUUUUUCCUUCCUGUUUGUCCUCUGUUAAAAUAAAAAAAGAAUUACCUAAAAGAAACUUCUUGGUAUUGUUAUCCUGAGAGUGUAUUACUACCACAUAUAUGGAG
rnacentral:lncRNA from 1 species